UAAAAAGAUUGAGAUUAAAAAUUAGAACUC
rnacentral:piRNA from 1 species